GCCCUGAGUCAUAGCUCCGUAGGCAGAACAUGAGACUCUUCCUCUCAAGGCUGUGGGUUCGAUCCCCACAUUGGGCA